rnacentral:lncRNA from 1 species
GCUUUGCUUUCUCGCUCUUUUGCUAUUUCUUACAGCCUUUUAAUGUUGCCCUACUAUAUUAGCUUCAAUACACUCUUACUCGUUUUAUUUAUUAUGGCAUAACUCGAUUAUAGGAAAAUCUCGUAUCUUCCUUUAGCAGCUCGAUUUAGCAAGAUCGCUGGUACUCUUUUAUGAGAUAAUCUCAUACUAACUUGCUUGAGCAAGCUCAAUCUCGCUCUAACCACUGUUUGCUUUCUUCACCCGG